rnacentral:rRNA from 1 species
UACGUAGGGGGCUAGCGUUGUCCGGAAUCAUUGGGCGUAAAGAGCGUGUAGGCGGUCCGGUAAGUCCGCUGUGAAAGUCGGGGGCUCAACCCUCGAAUGCCGGUGGAUACUGUCGGGCUAGAGUGCGGAAGAGGCGAGUGGAAUUCCUGGUGUAGCGGUGAAAUGCGCAGAUAUCAAGAGGAACACCUGAGGUGAAGACGGGUUGCUGGGCCGACACUGACGCUGAGUGCGCGAAAGCCAGGGGAGCAAACGGG